GGCCUGGUGUUGUGUAUAAUAAAUAUUUCGUGCGUGGGUGUGGGCGGAUGAUUGGUUUUGGUGGGUGAUGGGGUGUGGCAUAUAAUAUAAUAAUAAGAUAUGUUAUCAUAUUUCUUCCCACUUUGUAAAAUAAAAUUAAAAAACACGGAAGGUCUUCCCUGCUGUGCAUGCUCUGCCGUUGUCGACUACACAGCUACUACUGUCAUUAUUGUUAUCAUCAUUAUUAUUUAAUUCUACUACUCGUGCCACGAUAGCUACAAUAAACACCCCCCUCCCCCCCCGCUGCUUUUCUUAUCUUUUCCUGCCGUCUGUCACCCUUAUUACUAUUAAUAAUAAUAUUUUUUAAUAUUAUCAUCGUCACAUUUAUUAUUAUUAUUAUUAUUAUUAUUAUUUAUUAAUUUUUUUAUUGUAUCUCAUCCCUGUUAUAUAAUUUUACGAUACAUACAAGCGUGUGUACAGUACAUGUUUUCAUGUCAACAUAAUAUUUUACAUACCUUCCGGNNNNNNNNNNNNNNNNNNNNNNNNNNNNNNNNNNNNNNNNNNNNNNNNNNAAGCAGCGGCGGAGGCAGAGGCAGCAGCGACAGCGGUGGCGACAGCGGCAGCGGCUACAGAGGUGGUGGUGACAGUGGCUUUGUGGCAACGGUGGCUGCAGCGACAGCAGCUGCGGCAGGAGAGGCAGCAGCGGCGGUGGCGACGGUGGCGACGGUGGCGGCGGCGGUGGAAGCAGCGGUGGUGGCGACAGCGACAGCGGCAGCGGCAGCGGCAGCGGCGGUGGUGACGGCGGCGGCGACAGCGGCGGCGGUGGCGGCGGUGACGACGGUGGCGACAGUGGCGGCGGCGACAAAGCAGCGGCGGCAGCAGAGGCAGCAGCGACAGCGGUGCCGACAGCGGCAGCAGCUACAGAGGUGGUGGUGUCAGUGGCGGCGGCGACAAAGCAGCGGCGGAGGCAGAGGCAGCAGCGACAGUGGUGGCGACGGUGGCGACAGCGGCAGCGGCUACAGAGGUGGUGGUGAUAGUGGCUUUGCGGCGACGGUGGCUGCAGCGACAGCAGCUGCGGCAGGAGAGGCAGCAGCGGCGGUGGUGACGGUGGCGACGGUGGCGGCGGCGGUGGAAGCAGCGGGUAGUGGCGACAGCGACAGCGGCAGCGGUGGUGGUGACGGCGGCGGCGACAGCGGCGGCGGUGGCGGCGGUGGCGGCGGUAACGACGGUGGCGACAGUGGCGGCGGCGACAAAGCAGCGGCGGCGGCAGAGGCAGCAGCGACAGCGGUGCCGACAGAGGGGUGGCAACAGCGGCAGCAGCUACAGAGGUGGUGGUGUCAGUGGCAGCGGCGACAGUGGCUGCAGCGACAGCAGCUGCGGCAGCAGCGGCGGCGGCGGUGGCGGCGGUGGCGACGGUGGCGGCGGCGGUGGAAGCAGCGGUGGCGACAGCGGUGGUGACAGUGGCGGUGGCAGCGGUGGCGGCAGCGACAGCGGCCGCGGCGGCGGCAACAGCACGACAGUGGCGACACAUAGCGACACGGCAGCCCCUUUUCUCCUACUAUAUUAUACCCAUAUGCAUGCCUGAUCCCUCUCCCUCUCUCCUCCUCCUCUCACCUCGAGGGCGCGCUUCACCUCCAGCUCUGCCGCCUCUCCCAUGGUGCUCAACUCGAUGGUCUCCAGCUGCUUGCAGGACAGCAUGGAAGGACCACCUCGCCCCUCCCGGGCUGCCCACAUUACUCGCUCCAGCUCCCGUCUCUCAUCCAAGGCCCUUUCCACUUGGGCCUGCAGGUACUCCAGGGACUCCGGAAGAGGUUCCGGAGUCAACAUUGUCGACGCUGCUUCGUUCCUGUACGAGACCACUUUGAAGACGAAAGCCGUCAUCACCCUGCCGCCUGGAUACAUGUCCAUUUAUUACCACAAACAUACUUAUCAGCAGACAUGCAUACGUAUAUAACACAAAAAGGGUGGCAAAUAAUAAACAUGCAUAUCUCCAAAACCCCGAAGCAAAACAUACACACACAAAAAAAAACACACAUACACACAAACACACUAAAAAAGUGAAAAGAAAGAGAUCUACUUACUGUCGGACAUGUGGCAAUCCGUCACUGUCGCCACGAGCUUAAGGCCCCAGAAGCCCAGCAGCUCCAUCUCGGCCAAGGGAUUGGGCAUGCUGUACUGCACCACGGUUAUGGCCUGGUGUUGUGUAUAAUAAAUAUUUCGUGCGUGGGUGUGGGCGGAUGAUUGGUUUUGGUGGGUGAUGGGGUGUGGCAUAUAAUAUAAUAAUAAGAUAUGUUAUCAUAUUUCUUCCCACUUUGUAAAAUAAAAUUAAAAAACACGGAAGGUCUUCCCUGCUGUGCAUGCUCUGCCGUUGUCGACUACACAGCUACUACUGUCAUUAUUGUUAUCAUCAUUAUUAUUUAAUUCUACUACUCGUGCCACGAUAGCUACAAUAAACACCCCCCUCCCCCCCCGCUGCUUUUCUUAUCUUUUCCUGCCGUCUGUCACCCUUAUUACUAUUAAUAAUAAUAUUUUUUAAUAUUAUCAUCGUCACAUUUAUUAUUAUUAUUAUUAUUAUUAUUUAUUAAUUUUUUUAUUGUAUCUCAUCCCUGUUAUAUAAUUUUACGAUACAUACAAGCGUGUGUACAGUACAUGUUUUCAUGUCAACAUAAUNNNNNNNNNNNNNNNNNNNNNNNNNNNNNNNNNNNNNNNNNNNNNNNNNNUCACCUCGAGGGCGCGCUUCACCUCCAGCUCUGCCGCCUCUCCCAUGGUGCUCAACUCGAUGGUCUCCAGCUGCUUGCAGGACAGCAUGGAAGGACCACCUCGCCCCUCCCGGGCUGCCCACAUUACUCGCUCCAGCUCCCGUCUCUCAUCCAAGGCCCUUUCCACUUGGGCCUGCAG
rnacentral:lncRNA from 1 species